rnacentral:rRNA from 1 species
CACGUAGGGUGCGAGCGUUGUCCGGAAUUAUUGGGCGUAAAGAGCUCGUAGGCGGUGUGUCGCGUCGGCCGUGAAAACCUGCAGCUUAACUGUGGGCGUGCGGUCGAUACGGGCAUCACUGGAGUUCGGCAGGGGAGACUGGAAUUCCUGGUGUAGCGGUGAAAUGCGCAGAUAUCUGGAGGAACACCGGUGGCGAAGGCGGCAUCCUGGACCGAUACUGACGCUGAGGAGCGAAAGCAUGGGGAGCGAACAGG